UGUUGCCUACGGGGGGCAGCAGUGGGGAAUCUUCCGCAAUGGGCGAAAGCCUGACGGAGCAACGCCGCGUGAUCGAAUGAAGGCCUUCGGGUUGUAACGAUCUGUUGACAGGGACGAAUAAGCAAUGCGAAUAGUUUUGUGUAUGACGGUACCUGUUUAGAAAGCUCCGGCUAACUACGUGCCAGCAGCCGCGGUAAUACGUAGGUGGCGAGCGUUAUCCGGAAUGAUUGGGCGUAAAGGGUGCGUAGGCGGCCUGCUAAGUCUGGAGUGAAAGGUACCGGCUCAACCGGUACAGGCUCUGGAAA
rnacentral:rRNA from 1 species